rnacentral:rRNA from 1 species
GGCGAACGGGUGAGUUAUUACAUCGGAACCGUGCCUGUGGUGGGGGAUCAACCCGGCGAAAGCCGGACUAAUACCUGCAUGAGACCUGAGGGUGAAAGCGGGGGAUCGCAAGACCUCGCGCUAUGUGGAGCGGCCGAUGUCAGAUUAGCUAGUUGGUGGGGUAAAGGCCUACCAAGGCGACGAUCUGUAGCUGGUCUGAGAGGACGACCAGCCACACUGGGACUGAGACACGGCCCAGACUCCAUACGGGAGGCAGCAAGUGGGGAAUUUUGGACAAUGGGCAGCAAGCCUGAUCCAGGCCAUGCCGCGUGCGGGAAGAAGGCCUUCGGGUUGUAAAACCGCUUUUUGUCGGGGAAGAAAAGCUUCUUGGCUAAUACCUAAGGAGUGCUGACGGUACCCGAAGAAUUAAGCACCCGGGCUUAACUACGUGCAAGGAGCCGGGG